GGGAUAUCGGGGAAGUCUGGCCUCCACGAUCCUGGAAAAUAUCCGGAGAAAGGUGGAAGGAUACAGGAAGCGCGGUGUUGCUCCUUCAGCAUAAAACUCACCGUGUUUAGCUUAAAGGAACAGUUCAUGAUUGUUGAGGAAAAUGAAUAAAUAUGACAACUUCCUGGUGAAGAGGAGUCAGAAUUAAGCAACAUCUGUAAAACCUUCAUGUCAAAGUGCACAGUCUAGGUCUGUUAGAUGUAGUCCAGGUCAUGGCAGACACAAGGAGGAUGGAAAUAUCAAAGCCAGCCCAAGGCCUUUACAUUCAGUUUUCCUGCUCGAGAUCCUCCAUGAAUAUUCCAGGGCUCCUUGUUUGUCAGGAAGGCUGUCUCGCUUUCAUCUAUUCAGGCUCCUGAUAGACAACCCUGACACCUGCUCCCCAGGGACACCAUCCGCCAAGUCACUGCAGUGCUCCUGGAGAGACUUCCUUUACUUUAUCAGCCCAUAAAGGAUUGUCACAGGGUGAAGUCUUGGGAUGCCUCAUCAAAACCAUGCAGAAUUCCCUCCUGUCUGCUGUGGGGAUUUGUGGAAGGUAUUGUAGAGAAGAUGACACUGGCACAAUUCCCAGCAAUAUGAGGUGGGGAUACACCAUCUUAAAAUCCUAUUAAUUCAUGGCUGAGGCUCUUAGGUCACCACUUUCUAUCACAUAAAAUUGGAGGUCAUACAUAGUAUAGACAGAACUAUUGCUGUCAACAUUGUGUUCUCUGUUUUUCUUUUUCAUAGAAAGUACUCAUAGGUCAAUGGUUUAGUGUUUAGCUAUAGCUCUCUUGGAAAAAGCCUUAAUGGAGUCAUUAGUACUAUUAUCAUUUACUCUGUGUAACCCUUUGUAUUUCUUUCUGGUACUCAUUGUAAAGUCAUUUACAUAUUUGUGUCUCCGUCAUUGACACAACUCCUAUAGUUGCUGACAUUACAUUUGUUUGCUCUUUGUUUUUUUCUCUCUACAGUGGCCUAGUGCUCUUUUGCUGCCAUUGUGCUCACCUAGACAAAGCUACCAUAUUUGCCUUUGUUGCAAUUAACUGUAUACUUUUGUGUACCACUGGUUUUGUAUUUAACUGUGUCACUUUGAUAGACAAAGCCAUUGUGAGUGUCAAUAUUGCAAUUACCUUUGGCUAUGUUCAAACAGCAGGCAAAUGUUAUUCAAAUCCCAUUUCUUUUGCCCAUAUCCGUCUUUCUCUUUGCAGUCUGAACAGUCCUAUUCAUUCUUUUUAUUGCCCUGUCCCCGAAAAAUCUGAUUUGGGCCACUUUCAUAUGUGGUACAAAAUUGGAUACAUAUCCAGGAGUUGUCAAAGUAUCUGCAGUCAGAACAGUCAUGUCACAUUUUAUCCGACUUUCGCUUCAUUGACAUGAGACAUGUGUCAUAAUUCUGCCCCAGAAGAAGAUAAAUGGUAAAUUCAGACAUAAACAAUGGCUUUGCUAUUAGUUAUGUUUUUUACGCCUUUAGCUUGCUCUGUCUUUUUAUGACCUUGUGACAAUACGAUCAUAAAAGGACAACUUUAAAAUUGACCCAUAGACGACAACAUCGAUUAUUACAUCCGUCCAUACAGAAGUCUAAUUGCAGUUACAUUUAAUUAGCCAAAAUGACCAUAUAAAAAUAACGUAUUUUGGUUUAAACUCAGAAUUUAGCAUCAAGACCAGCUGUGUGAAGGUAGCUUUUGUGUGCUUCUUCUGUAUUUAUUUCCUUAAAAGGUUAUCUUGACCCAGACAGUCUCUGUUUAGCUGUCUUUCUUAUCCGGUAGAGAUGCAGUUAUUAUGACCACCAAUGGUAUUUACUGUCUGUGCUUUUCUGCCCAUUGAAAGUUCUCCAGCUAUUGGCCGUGUUUCUUUCUCAUACGAGAGUUAUUCCUGGCCACUCUUGCCACAUGCUUGUUCUGGAUGAGAAAUUAAUGCCAAGUCAAUGGCUCAAUGACAUUGGCUUAGAGAACGAAAUAAAUCGGAGAGUAACUGAAUCUUAUACCCUGAUUGUAUAGGAAUUUAUUUCUUUCAACAUAUUUUGAUUCCAACUAGGUUUAGUGGCCUUGUAAAGGUCCUUCAGGUGGCAUUUUUUGUCAAUUGGCACUAAAUAUUAAACUUAAUUAGACGUGAAAGGAUGAACAAACAAACUUUGUAGGUGUUUUUUACAUCUUAUAAUACCAGUUUGCAAUGUGUUUAUUAGUGAACUACUAAUU